UACGGAGGGUGCAAGCGUUAAUCGGAAUUACUGGGCGUAAAGCGUGCGUAGGUGGUUUGUUAAGUCCGUUGUGAAAGCCCCGAGCUCAACUUGGGAAUUGCAGUGGAUACUGGCAAGCUGGAGUGCGGUAGAGGAAGGUGGAAUUCCCGGUGUAGCGGUGAAAAUGCGUAGAGAUCGGGAGGAACACCAGUGGCGAAGGCGGCCUUCUGGACCAGCACUGACACUCAAGCACGAAAGCGUGGGGAGCAAACAGG
rnacentral:rRNA from 1 species